AUGACUUUGAUCUGCGUCCUCAUCUGGACUCUCCUCUGCUGCUGCUUCACAGAGUCCAGGGGUCAGGUCACAGUGACUCAGCCUGCAGCAGUGAGAGCUGAUCUGGGAGGAUCUGUUUCCAUCAAUUGUAGGACCAGUCAUAAUUUUAUUUAUCGUGAUUCUUACCAUUUUUUGUCCUGGUAUCAACAGAAAGAUGGUCGAAACCCUAAACGUAUCAUUUAUGCUGCCAGCUAUCGAGAAUCCUGGACUCCAAGUCGUUUUAUAGGCAGUGGAUCAAACUCUGACUUCACUCUGACCAUCAGUGGAGUUCAGGCUGAAGAUGCUGCAGUUUAUUUUUGUCAAGGUCAAAACAAUAUCAACAAUCAAUGGGUGUUCACACAUACCCUGAGACUGUACGCCAGCCGUAAGGAAGGAGGCCGAGGACUAAAGAGCGUAAGAGCCACUAUUCAGGAUGAAACAUCCAAGAUCCAUAAGUACCUCAAGGACAAGGCUCCAACAGAUGACAUCCUCACCGAAUGUCUCAGACAAUGGGGAACAGAAGAUGAGGUGCCAGAGACUCCAUCAUGGGAGGAAAAUCCCUACACCGGACAUAAAACCUGA